GAUGAACGCUGGCGGCGUGCUUAACACAUGCAAGUCGAACGGAAAGGCCCAAGGUUGCUUGGGUACUCGAGUGGCGAACGGGUGAGUAACACGUGGGUGAUCUGCCCUUCACUUCGGGAUAAGCCUGGGAAACUGGGUCUAAUACCGGAGAGGACCACUUUAUGGAUGGGGUGGUGGAAAGUUUUGCGGUGUGGGAGUAGCUCGCGGCCGAUCAGCUUGUUGGUGGGGUAGUGGCCUAGCAAGGCGUCGACGGGGAGCCGGCCUGCGAGGGUGUAGGGCCACACUGGGACCGGGAGACGGGCCAGAGUCCGACGGGAGGCGGCAGUGGGGAAUAUUGGACAAUGGGCGCAAGCGUGAUGCAGCGACGCCGCGUGGGGGAUGACGGCCUUCGGGUUGUAAAAUCCUAUGGCUAGGGACGAAGCGUUUUUGUGACGGUACCUGGAGAAGAAGCACCGGCUAACUACGUG
rnacentral:rRNA from 1 species